rnacentral:rRNA from 1 species
CCGUAGCCCAAGAGAUCGGGAUAACACCUGGAAACAGAUGCUAAUACCGGAUAACAACAGAUGAUGCCUAUCAACUGUUUAAAAGAUGGUUCUGCUAUCACUCUUGGAUGGACCUGCGGUGCAUUAGCUAGUUGGUAGGGUAACGGCCUACCAAGGCGAUGAUGCANAGCCGAGUUGAGAGACUGAUCGGCCACAUUGGGACUGAGACACGGCCCAAACUCCUACGGGAGGCAGCAGUC